GACGAACGCUGGCGGCGUGCUUAACACAUGCAAGUCGAACGGAAAGGCCCUGCUUUUGUGGGGUGCUCGAGUGGCGAACGGGUGAGUAACACGUGAGUAACCUGCCCUUGACUUUGGGAUAACUUCAGGGAACUGGGGCUAAUACCGGAUAGGAGCUCCUGCUGCAUGGUGGGCGUUGGAAAGUUUCGGCGGUUGGGGAUGGACUCGCGGCUUAUCAGCUUGUUGGUGGGGUAGUGGCUUACCAAGGCUUUGACGGGUAGCCGGCCUGAGAGGGUGACCGGCCCCAUUGGGACUGAGAUACGGCCCAGACUCCUACGGGAGGCAGCAGUGGGGAAUAUUGCACAAUGGGCGGAAGCCUGAUGCAGCAACGCCGCGUGCGGGAUGACGGCCUUCGGGUUGUAAACCGCUUUCGCCUGUGACGAAGCGUGAGUGACGGUAAUGGGUAAAGAAGCACCGGCUAACUACGUG
rnacentral:rRNA from 1 species